CAUGUUCACAAUUUGGUAGCUGCUAGUUAUUAGUCAUUACAUAUAAUAUUUGAGAUCAAAAUAUAUUAUUUUUUUAGGAAAAAAAAAUCAAAGUAUAUGUAAUGCAAGCUAGGAGGCCUAGCAUGAGGUUCACUGUAAUCUAGAGGAAGAUUAAAUUAACUAAGAAGGAAUUAAACUAAUUAUAAAAUAAAGAAAAUAUCAAACUCCAAAAAUCUACGGGCA
rnacentral:lncRNA from 1 species